rnacentral:rRNA from 1 species
AUCAAUCACAUAAUUCUAGGGUGCGUCCUAGCCAGGCUGGUGUGGACGAUCAUUGCUAACAACUUGGGAAGGCCGACAUGGGUACCACAUCAUAAUAGUAAACUAGUGGACUGGUGGACAUCCCUGGACCCACAACAUGGCCUAAUGGAAGAAACCUGGACGGUCAUUGCAUUGGUAGCAUGGAAACUAUGGAGGCACAUGAACAACAUUGUUUUCAAUGGUGCGGCACCGUCGGUUGACGCGGUGCUAAAUCAAAUUGCCAUGGAUGGCCAAAAUUGGAGGGUAGUGGCUCUGUUUAGAGAAGGCAACUCCUUACCCGGUUAG